UCAUAUUUACCCUCCGACUUUGAGCACCCUUCUCACAAACUGACAAACAAAACAACAUACAUGGAAGACUAAGACGGCCGUUAUGUCAUGUUUUCUCUUCAUUCACAGAGAAUGCAAGUGAGGAUCAUCGUGGAAUUAGUGAUUCAGCCUCAAGCCAGGGAUGAUUUGGAGGCUUUUCUUGGCGAAAAGAGUAGUGAAUUUGUGUCCUGAAGAGCAAAGUUCUAGGAGAUAUGUAGCGGAUGAGGUUAAUCGUCAUGAUAUGGAAAUUUAUUUGGUGGUGAGAAGAACGUUGGAUACGGGGCAGAGAAAUUAAGAUUGUCAAGAUACCCGUGAGAUGUUCCCUCGACAUCAGUCUUCAGUGGAGAGAAUAUUAGGUUCUGCGAGUUCACAAUCUGCAAUGGCAGGUACUGUACAUCUUUUUGAUUGUCAUCAGGUUGAGAGUGUCAAAUACUAUCUCUUGUGAUUAAUCUUUCGAUUGUCAUAUAACAAUACUUAACCUCUGGUCAUUAAUAAGGCAAAUGGUGCUCAAGGUACUUGUCUGUCUACCCACGACUCAGUUCAUCAUUAAGUCUAGCAUUAGUGUUUCUCUUA